UCUAGAUUAGAGUUUGAUCCUGGCUCAGAUUGAACGCUGGCGGCAGGCCUAACACAUGCAAGUCGAACGGUAACAGGAAGAAGCUUGCUUCUUUGCUGACGAGUGGCGGACGGGUGAGUAAUGUCUGGGAAACUGCCUGAUGGAGGGGGAUAACUACUGGAAACGGUAGCUAAUACCGCAUAACGUCGCAAGACCAAAGAGGGGGACCUUCGGGCCUCUUGCCAUCGGAUGUGCCCAGAUGGGAUUAGCUAGUAGGUGGGGUAACGGCUCACCUAGGCGACGAUCCCUAGCUGGUCUGAGAGGAUGACCAGCCACACUGGAACUGAGACACGGUCCAGACUCCUACGGGAGGCAGCAGUGGGGAAUAUUGCACAAUGGGCGCAAGCCUGAUGCAGCCAUGCCGCGUGUAUGAAGAAGGCCUUCGGGUUGUAAAGUACUUUCAGCGGGGAGGAAGGGAGUAAAGUUAAUACCUUUGCUCAUUGACGUUACCCGCAGAAGAAGCACCGGCUAACUCCGUGCCAGCAGCCGCGGUAAUACGGAGGGUGCAAGCGUUAAUCGGAAUUACUGGGCGUAAAGCGCACGCAGGCGGUUUGUUAAGUCAGAUGUGAAAUCCCCGGGCUCAACCUGGGAACUACAUCUGAUACUGGCAAGCUUGAGUCUCGUAGAGGGGGGUAGAAUUCCCAGGUGUAGCGGUGAAAUGCGUAGAGAUCUGGAGGAAUACCGGUGGCGAAGGCGGCCCCCUGGACGAAGACUGACGCUCAGGUGCGAAAGCGUGGGGAGCAGACAGGAUUAGAUACCCUGGUAGUCCACGCCGUAAACGAUGUCGACUUGGAGGUUGUGCCCUUGAGGCGUGGCUUCCGGAGCUAACGCGUUAAGUCGACCGCCUGGGGAGUACGGCCGCAAGGUUAAAACUCAAAUGAAUUGACGGGGGCCCGCACAAGCGGUGGAGCAUGUGGUUUAAUUCGAUGCAACGCGAAGAACCUUACCUGGUCUUGACAUCCACGGAAGUUUUCAGAGAUGAGAAUGUGCCUUCGGGAACCGUGAGACAGGUGCUGCAUGGCUGUCGUCAGCUCGUGUUGUGAAAUGUUGGGUUAAGUCCCGCAACGAGCGCAACCCUUAUCCUUUGUUGCCAGCGGUCCGGCCGGGAACUCAAAGGAGACUGCCAGUGAUAAACUGGAGGAAGGUGGGGAUGACGUCAAGUCAUCAUGGCCCUUACGACCAGGGCUACACACGUGCUACAAUGGCGCAUACAAAGAGAAGCGACCUCGCGAGAGCAAGCGGACCUCAUAAAGUGCGUCGUAGUCCGGAUUGGAGUCUGCAACUCGACUCCAUGAAGUCGGAAUCGCUAGUAAUCGUGGAUCAGAAUGCCACGGUGAAUACGUUCCCGGGCCUUGUACACACCGCCCGUCACACCAUGGGAGUGGGUUGCAAAAGAAGUAGGUAGCUUAACCUUCGGGAGGGCGCUUACCACUUUGUGAUUCAUGACUGGGGUGAAGUCGUAACAAGGUAACCGUAGGGGAACCUGCGGAUGGAUCACCUC
rnacentral:rRNA from 1 species